GACAGAGGUGCCAAGCGUUAGGCGGAAUCACUGGGCUUAAAGCGUGUGUAGGCGGGUGCCUAAGUACCUUGUGAAAUCCCACGGCUCAACCGUGGAACGGCUGGGUAUACUGGGUGCCUUGGGUCAUCCAGGGGCUGCCGGAACAAAUGGUGGAGCGGUGAAAUGCGUAGAUAUCAGGAGGAACACCGGUGGUGUAGACGGCUUUCUGGACCGUAACUGACGCUGAGACACGAAAGCGUGGGUAGCAAACAGG
rnacentral:rRNA from 1 species